rnacentral:rRNA from 1 species
AUUGAACGCUGGCGGAAUGCUUUACACAUGCAAGUCGAACGGCAGCACGGACUUCGGUCUGGUGGCGAGUGGCGAACGGGUGAGUAAUGUAUCGGAACGUGCCCAGUCGUGGGGGAUAACGUAGUGGAAAUUACGCUAAUACCGCAUACGAUCGAUGGAUGAAAGCGGGGGAUCGCAAGACCUCGCGCGAUUGGAGCGUCCGAUAUCAGAUUAGGUAGUUGGUGGGGUAAAGGCCCACCAAGCCAACGAUCUGUAGCUGGUCUGAGAGGACGACCAUCCACACUGGAACUGAGAAACGGUCCAGACUCCUACGGGAGGCAGCAGUGGGGAAUUUUGGACAAUGGGCGAAAGCCUGAUCCAGCCAUUCCGCGUGCAGGAUGAAGGCCCUCGGGUUGUAAACUGCUUUUGUACAGAACGAAAAGGUUUCUACUAAUACUAGGAGCUCAUGACGGUACUGUAAGAAUAAGCACCGGCUAACUACGUGCCAGCCGCCGCCGUAA